UAUUCGUUUUGGUUAAUUUGACACAUUUUGUUUAUUCAUGCGAUUUGUACGUCUUAAUUUCUUAGUAUAUUAUAAUAAUAUACUAUCAUAACUUACUAGAUCUAUGAACUUGUCAACAUUUAUUGUGUUUUAAAUAAUAACAUUGAUAUUAAAUAUCCAUAAUCAAUGUGAAUACCGAGAUGGAGUUUUGCUCAAGUGACAAAUCUAUAAAACCUAAAACCUUACUUAUAAAAUGUAUGCACAUCAAAUGUCAAAAUUAAAGUAUUAUGUCUUUGUUCUGAGAAACUUAUAAAUGUGUAGUUUUGUGUUUUACUAUAUUGGUAUCUGAAUUCAAAGAAAAAAUAUAAAAUUUUUUAUGAAAAAAUUGAAUCUUCAAUCAUCGUUUACUGAAUCAAUAAUAGUAUGUUCAAUAUUAAUAUGGACUAUCUCAACUUACAUUGAUAUUUGUUAUUGUCUACAACUACACUACUACCAACGUCAAAUUUGGUGUAUUAUAUUAUUGUAGUCAAUCAGUCUAAACCAAUUCCAUCAAUACAUUGUCGAAUGUUGUGGUAUUCAAUUUUCAGUAAAUUUAUAGGUGUUUUAUUUUAAGUUACUGUGGCACACUAUUGCAGAU